UGUUUUGCAUUUACUUUUAUAUUUUUUCCCAUAACCAUUCACGUUUUUGGGACACAUAUCAAAGGAUUAGGGGAUUUGAUAGAUCAGUUCUCCAAUCUAGCUCUCUCCUUCAAAUCUCAGUUGGUUUACGAUGCUGAGUUCUGACUUCUGGAAUGUUUCUGAUCUAAUUUUAACUAUGAGGGAACCAAGGGAGUAGAAUUCCUCCCAUUGACGGAGUAGCUGAGUCAGGAACCACAUUAGCACUCGAAACCCGCAUUACCAGUCACCAUACAGAUUUGUUGCUGCAGUGGUGCUGUGGGGAAGGGCCACAUGUGGGGCCUGCGAGAAGCCCCCAGGAGGUCAGCCCCAAUAUGUUCAUCUUCAGGGAGCUUCAUCUCUCACAGGAUGCACGUAUUGGCACUGUGACCCUCUGGCCCUGUGGCAUUGGCAGAGACACUGGGCUCCGACCUACUCUUACCAGUGUCUUUCAGCAAGCCCAGGCAAACCACACCACCUUUCCAGGGUCCUUCUCCUCCAAAGGGACCAGUUAAUCUUUUGCCCAUUUCUAAAAUCAGCUUGUUUUAUUCUCCCCUCAUUAAUUUGUAGGCAUUCUUCAUAUAUUUUGGCCAUCAUCAGUGAUAGGUGUCACCAAUACCUUCUCCAGUCCAUGGCUUAACAUUUCAUGGCAGAAUGGUAGCUGCCGUGGCUUUAGCCCCAAGGUGGAACGCACCAAGGUACAGGGCCCACUCACACUCAAGGAGUUCUUUAUGAAGGCAACUGCAGCAGCGACCUCAAAGAAAGCGACCUUUCUUCUUCUUCUUUUGAAGCAUUUUUCCCUGUUUCCCUCUGACUUUUGAAUGUCAGUUGUUCAAUGUUUGAGCCAAAAGAAAGAUGAGAAAACCCUUCCAGGCAAGUUCCAGUUCAAAUGGGCUUAGUCACUAAUGCGCCCCACAAUUUUAAAUGUGACACCAGAAACCCAGGCUUGAUUAGGUUCUUUUCUCUUGUUUAGACCAAGAUGUUAGCCAGAGAUGUGUUGGUGACUUCUAGCAGCUUCCUAAAGCAUACCAGCAUAACCAAGAUGUUAGCCAGAGAUGUGCCGGUGACUUCUAGCAGCUUCCUAAAGCAUACCAGCCUCCUCCUCUGAAACUGCUUUCCCUUCCCUCUCUGAGAGGGAACAGGAUGCCCCAAGCAGGUUACAGCAAAGGAAGAGCAGAGACUAUUUCCUUCAGUUUCCUGCCGUUUUCCAAGCGUUGACGUCAAUUGGGAUUACUGAGAGCCCAGGGAUAAUUUUAGCCCAAAGCACACUCUACUCCAAGGAGGAAGGAAGCAUCUCGUUCUUGCUAAGGCAGAUCAGAUGACCUGCUUUCUUCAUGGAGGGCCAAGUCAACAUGUUUAUCCUGUAACUUCUUCAGAGUUAUGGCUUCGAAGGCUGUGCCCUGAGUUUCUGUUAGCCACGUUCAGCUAUCCGUUCAUGUAUACCUCCAAGUCCUAGCCUCUGCUUUUCAUGUACUUUCAGCCAAAUGACAACUUAGCCCACUUCUGCUUUUUCCUUAAUAAAUUCCCAAUCUUGUAGAUGUUUCUACCAAAUCUAA